GGCAAGAUGGCCGAGCGGUCUAAGGCGCCACGUUAAGGUUUUCAAAACUUUGAUAAACUCCACAAUCAAUCAUUGAUCUGGGAUUCCGUGGUCCGAAAGGGCGUGGGUUCGAAUCCCACUCUUGUCA